rnacentral:rRNA from 1 species
GCACAAGCAGUGGAGCAUGUGGUUUAAUUCGAUGCAACGCGAAGAACCUUACCUGGGCUUGAACUGCAGGCGUAGUCGCUUGAAAGGGCGGCGAACUCCUUCGGGAAGACCUGUAGAGGUGCUGCAUGGCUGUCGUCAGCUCGUGUCGUGAGAUGUUGGGUUAAGUCCCGUAACGAGCGCAACCCUUGCCCUUAGUUGCCAGCGCGUCAAGGCGGGAACUCUAAGGGGACUGCCGGUGAUAAACCGGAGGAAGGUGGGGAUGACGUCAAGUCAUCAUGGCCUUUAUGGGCUGGGCUACACACGUGCUACAAUGGCCGGUACAGAGGGUUGCCAACCCGCGAGGGGGAGCCAAUCUCAGAAAACCGGUCGUAGUCCGGAUCGCAGUCUGCAACUCGACUGCGUGAAGUCGGAAUCGCUAGUAAUCGCGAAUCAGCAUGUCGCGGUGAAUACGUUCCCGGGCCUU